GAUGCUGGUGGUGGGUCACCCAGUGAAGAAGAUCCUCCCCGUGCCACAGAGCUGCUCAGCUACAAAGGGAAAUGCACUUCACGCUUCCUCCAGCCCUCCCCAGCGCCUCCAGGAGAGCUGAGAGUCGGCGUUGUUGGCCUUCCUCCCCCGGCAGCGGGGAAUGUGUGAGCUGGACAGGCUGAGUAAAAAUGACCUAAUGCAGAAAAGAAUCAGAAAAUGAGCAAUGAGAGAGAGGGUUAUAACAAUGCUUCCCGUAUGAGUUAGCAGCACCCAAGGGACUCCCACAGCCGCUGGAUUUCCUGUCCUGGCAGCAGCCCAGCCUGGCUUAUUUUGCUUCCUUGACAGACAGCAUCUGAGCCUGUUGUUAUUUUUACCUCAGAAUUGUGUUGUUUUCUCUUUUUUUUUUUCUUGCUCCCCCGGAUUCCUGCAGUGACACCACAACUGCCAGCCCUGGAGCUCAGCAGCACUUGUUCUCCCAGCUGCAAGGCAAGGACAGACACCUGGGGGGUAUCGCUGCUUGCUGCUCACCUGGGCAGGAUGAAAUCCCACAAAGGACGGCUCUGAGCCUCCAGGGUCACAGCUGGUAAAGGGACAACCACUUCAAUGCAUCCGUAUAUGACCCCAUCCCAGCAGAAGCAAAAGUCCCAGGACAAGCCCAGACUGACCCCAUUGCCACACACGGGCAAUCAAAGACCAGGUGCCCCCACAACAGAUCCCCCAUCACCUUCCAGGGAGCUCAGCUACCCAAGAGAGAGGAAUUUGAUGCUGUCUCCACCCACCUCCAUCACUCGCUGAGCACGGCUCAGUGGCUCACACAGAAGGUCAGCUGCUCUGCCCGAGCAGGGGAAUUCUUGUGUCUGCAGAUUCGAUAUCUAGCUGCUGAGUUAUGUUUAGUCUACGGCUGCAAAGUAGCCUUGUUUCUAUUCUGAGAAUAUUUGUCUAAUCAGGGGUCCAAGGAAUCAUUCUGCUCAGUAGAAAGCUAUGUUUAUUUGGUUAAGUUCGUGCUGCAGGAUGGACUCCGGAGAAGCCCAAGAAAAGCUGAGCGCUGCUGGAGUGCCCUGGGACACGGCACACCUGUAAGGAAGGCAAACACUUCACUGACUGCAGAACAAAGAGGAGGGCUCCAUUCUCCAGCUGCAGGCAGCUCUGAAGUGGGGCUCACGUGCAGCCUGGCUCAGCUCACAGCAUUCCUCAUUCCCAGGUGCUGGGCUGCUCCUUCGGUGCUGCUGGGUGGACACGUGGCUCGGUGCCUCUUCCCAGUCAGCCUCCAUCCACCACACACUCACCAGCUGAAAACAUUUUCAUUUUCUAUUUUCAGAACUUCAUUCAUAGAUCACAGCUGACCACAGCACCCUGCUCUGGAGGCCUCAGCUGAGGAAGCACUGAGCUGCAGGGUGUUUGGAGGGCAAGGACCCAUCACCUAUGGGCUAUUUCUGUCUUCACCAGGGAGUGAUCCCAGGUGCUCACGUCUCCAUCUUUUGCACGUUGCUGCCUCUGUCCUCGCUGUGACUGUCUGAGGCAGCUGGGAGGUGAUGUGAACCUUCAGCCCCAUAUCCUGCCCCACAUCAACCAUUGCUGCCCCAGCCCUCCCUGCCUGCCCUGAGGGAUGGGCUCACAUCCUGCACUCAACCAACGGGGCUGUGACACUGGGUGCUCCUGGGCAUCACCCGCCACAGGGAGGGACGUGCAUGGCUCAUGCAGGAAGGCAUGGUAAGGCUCCACAAAAUGCUGCAUGGAGAUCCCUGAAGCUCAGGAGGAAGAAGAUACAAAGGCUCUCGGGAUGGGGAGGAAGAGGAGAGUCCAGCUUGGAGGUACCUUUGCCCUACAGGAGAUAUGAGCACAGGGUGGUUCUUGGGACUGUGGAGACAUCCUGAGCCAUGUGCUGGGGCUUAAAACAUCCAGGACUUGACACAGCAUUACUGGGCUUUUUGCUGCUCCUUUUGAUGUGUCCCAUGGGGACCCACUGGUACAUGAGGUCACUCACAUCUCUGGGCACUCCCUCAUUCACAGGCCCGUGCCCCACUGGGUAUACACAGCAAACACUGUCCUUGGGAACAGUCUCAUUUUGGGCAAAACUCGCUGCAUUUCUGGCCUCAGCCUUUAACCUGGGAGCAUCUGGCAGCUGCUGCAGCACGCAAGACAGCUCAGCAUUUCAUGGGACCAGGUUUUCCCAUCUUUAGUCAUGUUUAUGCUCCUCCAGCUCCACCAGCGCAGAGAAACAUGCCACAAAGAAAAGGCUACAAGAAAUUACAUUCUCCUUUUAUUUACCUAUGACCAUGACAAUGUAUUUUUGCUAGCUGCAGAGAUGCUUCGCACUGUAAACUGGGCGCCCGGACGCAUGCAGUCCAUCCGGCUCCGCCGCGUUCAGCAACAGCCCCGCGUCUCCAAACGCAGUGUUGUGAUCCAGAGGAGGGAGAGCACCGAUUCCCAGAGCUGCUUAUCUCCACCAGCAAGCCCUCCGUCGUCAGGGCAGGAUAUGUACACCCAGGCUCCCCCAGCGCUGCUAGGGAACGCGUUAUUGGUUUGGUUUUUUUUUUUUUCUUCCUUUUCUUUGUCAGAUAAAACCUGCAAACUUAGAAAAUGUUGCACGCACUCGUAAAAGAGAAGG